rnacentral:lncRNA from 1 species
UUCUUCCCUCUUCCCUAGUCCCUCCUCCUCCUCCUUCUUCUUCUUCCCUCUUCCCUAGUCCCUCCUCCUCCUCCUUCUUCCUUCUCCUUCUUCCCUCUUCCCUAGUCCCUCCUCCUCCUCCUCCUUCUUCCUUCUCCUUCUUCCCUCUUCCCUAGUCCCUCCUCCUCCUCCUCCUUCUUCCUUCUCCUUCUUCCCUCUUCCCUAGUCCCUCCUCCUCCUCCUCCUUCUCCUUCUUCCCUCUUCCCUAGUCCCUCCUCCUCCUCCUCCUUCUUCUUCCUUCUCCUUCUUCCCUCUUCCCUAGUCCCUCCUCCUCCUCCUCCUCCUUCUUCCUUCUCCUUCUUCCCUCUUCCCUAGUCCCUCCUCCUCCUCCUCCUUCUUCCUUCUCCUUCUUCCCUCUUCCCUAGUCCCUCCUCCUCCUCCUUCUUCCUUCUCCUUCUUCCCUCUUUCCUCCUCCUCCUCCUCCUUCCUCUUUCUUUUUAUGUCAGAGAAAUUCCAAGAGAACUAGUGUGGCCACCCUCACUUCCGAAACGAAGACAGGUGCACAGAGGGAACGCGAUGUGCGCAAACCUCAGCACAGGGUCCUCGGAGAGACUUUGGUUUCCAGUGUCAGGCCUGUGUUCCCCUAGCCCAGCCCGGCAGGCUCUGCGGCCCCCUCCAGAGAUGAACAAGGGGAAGAGAGACCGACCGCUCGCAAACUUCUACGAGGAGGGGCUCUAAAUAGGGUUUCUGGCAACGCCCCCGCUCCCUGAGCCAGCCGGGCUCGGGCAUCCCCGGGGGGGGCGGGGGGGGCUCACGGGGCGCGGGCGGCUUGGGUCGCAGCCGAGGAGCGGAGCGAGGGACCGGGAGUCAGAUUCCCGAGAAAGGCACAGCUUGUCGCCUGUCGCCGCUGCGUUCCCGUCCUACGGAGCUUCGCCCGGAGCCGGAGCGCACGACUCGCCAAGCGCCCGCCCGCGUUGGAGGGGACCCGCGGGGGCCUCCCCGGGGUCCGCAGGCGCCCCCGCCCCCCCCCCCCGGCUGCAGCAGCGCCCGCCCCGCCGCCCCGCAGCCCCGCGGCCCCGCCGCCCCGGGAGGAGACCCACAGAAGGCGGGGACACCCCUCCGCAGGCAGGUCGGGGGCUUCCUCGGGCCCCCGCGGCGCGGGACCGGCCUCCACGUCGGCCCCCUCGGGCGUCGCCUUCGCCGCGGACGUGCCCGGGCGGGGGAGCAGCCCCUCGGCGGGCCGUGGCUCGCGGGGCCGCGCGCUGGGCGGGGGCCGGGGCGGGGGCCGGGGCCGGGGGCGCAGACGCCCGGAGCUCGGUCCCCGCGGUCCCCGGGGAGGCGCCGAGGCCGCCGUUGCAGGCGCGGGCGGGGUCCGCGAGGGGGCGCGGGCUCGGACCGCGGGUGUGCGCCGUCGCCCCGCACCUGCUGCACCUGCCGCACCUGCCGCACCUGCUCCUGUCCGGGGACCAGCCCCCGCCCGGCUGAGCCCCAACCCGGGGCACGUCCUGGGAACGAGGACCCGCCGGGACGAAGAGCUCUGGUUCUGACAAGAGGGU